rnacentral:lncRNA from 1 species
GUUUCAUGUACAUACUUCCCUUCGCCACCUCUAUCUGUCAUUACCUUCAUGUCAGCCAUUUGAAAUACUUGUUUUUAUUUAAAUAUGAAUGCUAAUACAAAGUGACCUAGGAGCACAUCUAUGCCAGGGCAGCAGAGAAACAGUUUGGAGUGAUCAGAAAUGUUAUUAAUUUUAAGAUAUUUUAAAUGUUAUCAAUGAUUCAAACAGACAACAAAAGGGCCAGAUCAAUGAAUGGACCAGAUGGUCAGUCAUUGUUUAAAGAAUGUUCGUCUGCACAUUCAUCCAAAUUCUUUUCCAAGCUAAUAAUGAAGAUGAAAGUUUUUAUCUUUUUUUUAUGUGCAAAUCCAUGUCCAGGACAUUUGGUUCUGAAUGCUUCCUGUUUGUUUCACCGGAAUGCCCAGAUUCCACCCAUCUCAGUUUUUUGAGAAUCCAGAAUAGCAAGGUUGCAAAAGGCACAAUGUCUGAAUAGUUUGCAGAUGUGUCAGUCUGAUAUCAUUCUGAGUGGACAUACACAUGCAAAACAAGUGUAGUUACUUGAAUCCUACAGACAGUAUGUCAAUAGAAGCUUGUAUGUUGUGCUUAUUCAACACUCUCUCUAUGGCGGCAGCUGAAGCAUGUGAAAAGGGAAGUGGAAUUAUCUCGGAGGCGCAGCCUGAGGCUCAAGGCUCAGGUGGAUAAACUGGAACAGCAGAAUGAUAGCGGACCCGGCUGGAGUGAAAACAGACAACGGGUGGCAGAGGAGAUUCAGUCUGUUGUAAAGCUGCUACUCCCUCUGACAGACUUAGAGUCAACAGAAGCCGAUCAGCCAUCCCAGGCUAACCCUUUAGACAAGACACUGCUUCAACUGCAGAAAGUGGCCCGGAGUCUCGCCAUUAACACCUCUCAGGUGAGCUUUAGCCACGCCCAUCAGCUCAUAUGGGACACGCCUCCUUUUUUGAAUUUCCUCAUCCCUCCAUUCUAUUGUAAGGCCUUGCGUAACCAUUUCAUGCUCCUAUUAUUCUUAGAAGUUCUUUUUAAGUGCCCAUAUUAUGCUCAUUUACAUGUUCAUAAUUUAAUUUUUGAGGUCUGCUAGAAUAUAACGACAUGAAAUUAAGUUCAAAAACAUGAUAUUUUUCUCACUAUACAUCUCUUUGCCUUAAACACUUUGUUUAAGUCCAAGUCUCUUUUAUUUCUUAAAGCCCACCUUUCCAAGAGCCCAGUUUGCUUUAUUGGUCAGCUGGCUUAGUCUGUUGUUUAUUGGUCAAAAGCUUAUUUAAUAGCAGAACUACAAACAAGGCAUUUUAGAACAUUUUUUAUUUUAUUUUUUCUGUUGGUGAUAUUAACUCCCACUGAUGUGGACUUUGUAAUUUUACUGAUCGUUUACACGCAAAAACUACUAUAUUACACAUUAUAGGUAUAAUAAAAAAAGGCAUAAUAGGUGCCUUUAAAACAAAUCUGCUAUUAUUGACAGGGAAAUAAAUCUGGGGAAGAUGCUGCCAUUUUACAGCAAGCUCUACGGGACAGAGAUGAAGCCAUUGCAAAGUGAGUUAAGUUGAUCUCUAAAACUAAUUAGUUUGUGUUAUGGAAUAAGACAUGACAAUCUGAUGACAAACUUGGUUUUUGGUGUAUGAAUCAGUGAAUGCAAUUGUUUUUAAUUAUUAUUAUUGUUAUUUUUAAUGCAGGAAACAAGCAAUGGAGACUGAGCUACUGAAAAGCAAAAACGAACUAAUGACACUGAACAAUCAACUUCUGGAAGCUGUUCAGAGUCGACUAGAACUGUCCAUGGAGCUGGAGGCCUGGAAAGUAUGUUUAAUUGCAUUUUUUAUUAUCAGUAAAAAAUGCUAAAAAUGUACCUACUUUUGCUUUUGAAUAUUUGUCUAAAGUAAGAAGGAAAGA